rnacentral:rRNA from 1 species
AUUGAACGCUGGCGGCAGGCCUAACACAUGCAAGUCGAACGGUAACAGAACUAGCUUGCUAGUUGCUGACGAGUGGCGGACGGGUGAGUAAUGCUUGGGAAUUUGCCUUUAGGUAGGGGACAACAGUUGGAAGCGACUGCUAAUACCGCAUAAUAGCUACGGCUUAAAGGGGGCUUCGGCUCUCGCCUUUAGAGAAGCCCAAGUGGGAUUAGAUAGUUGGUGAGGUAAAGGCUCACCAAGUCAACGAUCCCUAGCUGGUCUGAGAGGAUGAACAGCCACACUGGAACUGAGACACGGUCCAG